UCCUACGGGAGGCAGCAGUGAGGAAUAUUGGUCAAUGGGCGGAAGCCUGAACCAGCCAAGUCGCGUGAAGGAUGAAGGUAUUAUGUAUUGUAAACUUCUUUAGCAGUGGAGAAAUAAGGAGGAUGCAUCCUCUGAUGCUAGUACACUGAGAAUAAGGGUCGGCUAACUCCGUGCCAGCAGCCGCGGUAAUACGGAGGUGGCGAGCGUUGUCCGGAUUUACUGGGUGUAAAGGGCGUGUAGGCGGGGGAGCAAGUCAGAUGUGAAAACCCGAGGCUUAACCACGGGACUGCAUUUGAAACUGUUCUUCUUGAGUGACGGAGAGGCAAGCGGAAUUCCUAGUGUAGCGGUAAAAUGCGUAGAUAUUAGGAGGAACACCGGUGGCGAAGGCGGCUUGCUGGACGUUAACUGACGCUGAGGCGCGAAAGCGUGGGGAGCAAACAGGAUUAGAUACCCUGGUAGUCC
rnacentral:rRNA from 1 species